rnacentral:rRNA from 1 species
UACAGAGGGGGCAAGCGUUAAUCGGAAUUACUGGGCGUAAAGCGCGCGUAGGCGGCUUUGCAAGUCGGGUGUGAAAUCCCCAGGCUUAACCUGGGAACUGCAUUCGAGACUGCAUUGCUAGAGUAUGGGAGAGGGAAGUGGAAUUUCCGGUGUAGCGGUGAAAUGCGUAGAUAUCGGAAGGAACAUCAGUGGCGAAAGCGACUUCCUGGACCAAUACUGACGCUCAUG